rnacentral:rRNA from 1 species
CCUACGGGGGGCAGCAGUGGGGAAUAUUGCACAAUGGGGGAAACCCUGAUGCAGCAACGCCGCGUGAGUGAAGAAGUAUUUCGGUAUGUAAAGCUCUAUCAGCAGGGAAGAAGAUGACGGUACCUGAGUAAGAAGCCCCGGCUAACUACGUGCCAGCAGCCGCGGUAAUACGUAGGGGGCAAGCGUUAUCCGGAUUUACUGGGUGUAAAGGGAGCGUAGACGGAUGUGCAAGUCUGAUGUGAAAGGCGGGGGCUCAACCCCUGGACUGCAUUGGAAACUGUAAAUCUUGAGUGCCGGAGAGGUAA